GAUGAUGACGAUGACGAUGACGAUCAUAAAAUGGAAGCUUUGCCUUUGCUGUGGCUGAUUGUCCGGAUCAUUUUGUGCUUGUGUAUUUUGUUUUUACUUCUUACACUGUUCCUGCGAUUAUUCUAUCCUCCUACCCAUGUGAAUUAUUAUUAAGAUUAUAAGAAAGUCGCCAAUUAAGGAAGAUAGUAAAGAAUGUUAUUUGGGUAAUAUGUUGCACUAGAGCAGAUACUUAGCAGCCUAUAACGGCAUAUGUACAUGGCAUGUAAUAUCUUUUUAGUUUAAUUCACACUUAU
rnacentral:misc_RNA from 1 species